rnacentral:lncRNA from 1 species
UGGUUAACUUUCUAAAAGUGCAUGCAUUGGGUUGAGGUUCUGGGAGUCAAAAUAAUCCUUCCCAUACCCUCUCGCAUCAGGUGGUAUCAGAACUUAGGCUCCUAGUUGGUAUCACCUGCGUGAGGAAGCAUGAGAGGUGCCCAGCCAAGUCAACUCGCGUGCCCGUGCGCGUUGCCACGCACGCAGGACAUGCGUAGCAUGCGCGUGACAAUGCGCAUGCACGCAAGCAGCUAGUCAUGAGCCCAGUGACUUGCGCCCAGGAAAUCGAAAUGCGCCUCCCAUCUAGCCCAUCAAUGGGACCUACAGCCUGACCCGCACACCCUGUAGCUAGUUGCAUGGUUUCCUUCUUCAUAGUCCUUUCUGGACUCCAAUUUUUCACUUUUCCUAAUUCUACAAGGUGUCAUAGAUUCCCAAAUAUUGCAUGUGCAAAAUAUGCCAAAUUUUUAAGUGGAAUGCUACUUAAAAUUGAAGAGAUUAUAUCCUUGAAUAAUUAGGAUGAGGAGACUAUUAUUUAAUAUUAUUUUA